GUAGAAUUUUAUUUAUUUACUGAUAUAGCUUCUGUUUUCAUAAUGGCCAUAAGCCCAUAACCUUUCGUUUCUUACUCUCUCUUGAUGACUUUAUAUUAUCUGAUAUGCCUUUAAGAUAUUAUUCCGAUGAAUACUUUUAACUUUAAUUGUUACCAACUUAUUUUGUUCUAUUUUUGGUCAGAUCUCAAUGUUUUCCAAUACAGAUUACUGGUUGGCCAUUGGAGUUAAUGGCUUAUGCUUAUUUAGCUGUUAGUCCUCCAAGCAUGAUAGCGCGAUCUGAAAAGCAGCAUCAAAUAAAAGUACCGCCAAGAAAGAUUCGAGAUAUCCUGAAAUAGAGGAGCAAGCAUUGUGCGAAUCCAGUAUAUCAAAAUACAACAAUAAUUUGUAAUCCUCUUUAUAUUCAUUGAUACAUGGAAAGUAGUAGUUUAGACAUGUUUCAUUU